rnacentral:rRNA from 1 species
AGUGAACGCUGGCGGUAGGCCUAACACAUGCAAGUCGAACGGCAGCACAGUAAGAGCUUGCUCUUACGGGUUGCGAGUGGCGGACGGGUUAGGAAUACAUCGGAAUCUACUUUUUCGUGGGGGAUAACGUAGGGAAACUUACGCUAAUACCGCAUACGACCUACGUGUGAAAGCAGGGGAUCUUCGGACCUUUCGCGAUUGAAUGAGCCGAUGUCGGAUUAGCUAGUUGGCGGGGUAAAGGCCCACCAAGGCGACGAUCCGUAGCUGGUCUGAGAGGAUGAUCAGCCACACUGGAACUGAGACACGGUCCAGACUCCUACGGGAGGCGGCAGUGGGGAAUAUUGGACAAAGGGCGCAAGCCUGAUCCAGCCAUACCGCGUGGGUGAAGAAGGCCUUCGGGUUGUAAAGCCCUUUUGUUGGGAAAGAAAAGCAGCAGGUUAAUACCCCGCUGUUCUGACGGUACCCAAAGAAUAAGCACCGGCUAACUUCGUG